rnacentral:tRNA from 1 species
UGCUUCUGAAGGAUAAUAGUUCAUCCACUGGUCUUAGGAACCAAAAAUCCUUGGUGCAAAUCCAAGUAGAAGCU